rnacentral:lncRNA from 1 species
UGCAGAGGUGGCAAGAAGAUGGUGGUGUUAUGAUCAUAGGCUAUGAGAUGUAUAGAAAUCUUGCUCAAGGAAGGAAUGUGAAGAGUCGGAAACUUAAAGAAAUAUUUAACAAAGCUUUGGUUGAUCCAGGCCCUGAUUUUGUUGUUUGUGAUGAAGGCCAUAUUCUAAAAAAUGAAGCAUCUGCUGUUUCUAAAGCUAUGAAUUCUAUACGAUCAAGGAGGAGGAUUAUUUUAACAGGAACACCACUUCAAAAUAACCUAAUUGAGUAUCAUUGUAUGGUUAAUUUUAUCAAGGAAAAUUUACUUGGAUCCAUUAAGGAGUUCAGGAAUAGAUUUAUAAAUCCAAUUCAAAAUGGUCAGUGUGCAGAUUCUACCAUGGUAGAUGUCAGAGUGAUGAAAAAACGUGCUCACAUUCUCUAUGAGAUGUUAGCUGGAUGUGUUCAGAGGAAAGAUUAUACAGCAUUAACAAAAUUCUUGCCUCCAAAACACGAAUAUGUGUUAGCUGUGAGAAUGACUUCUAUUCAGUGCAAGCUCUAUCAGUACUACUUAGAUCACUUAACAGGUGUGGGCAAUAAUAGUGAAGGUGGAAGAGGAAAGGCAGGUGCAAAGCUUUUCCAAGAUUUUCAGAUGUUAAGUAGAAUAUGGACUCAUCCUUGGUGUUUGCAGCUAGACUACAUUAGCAAAGAAAAUAAGGUAAGGUUAUUUUGAUGAAGACAGUAUGGAUGAAUUUAUAGCCUCAGAUUCUGAUGAAACCUCCAUGAGUUUAAGCUCCGAUGAUUAUACAAA